GUAGGGUGCGAGCGUUAAUCGGAAUUACUGGGCGUAAAGCGUGCGCAGGCGGUUGUGCAAGACAGAUGUGAAAUCCCCGGGCUUAACCUGGGAACUGCAUUUGUGACUGCACGGCUGGAGUGCGGCAGAGGGGAGUGGAAUUCCGCGUGUAGCAGUGAAAUGCGUAGAUAUGCGGAGGAACACCGAUGGCGAAGGCAGCUCCCUGGGCCUGCACUGACGCUCAUGCACGAAAGCGUGGGGAGCAAACAGGAUUAGAUACCCUGGUAGUCCACGCCCUAAACGAUGUCAACUGGUUGUUGGUCCUUCACUGGAUCAGUAACGUAGCUAACGCGUGAAGUUGACCGCCUGGGGAGUACGGCCGCAAGGUUG
rnacentral:rRNA from 1 species